rnacentral:rRNA from 1 species
GGUGCAGCGGGAGUAGUAUGCCGUGAAAAAUUUGGGAAAUUUUUGGGUGCUUCAGCGAUGGUUUUUGACGGCCUCACCGACCCGGCUGGUUUGGAGGCACAAGUGUGCAGCGAGGCACUAGCCCUAGCCCGGGAUUUGAAUCUGCAAGAUCUUGCCAUUGCCUCAGAUUGUGCAGAAGUGAUUUCAAACAUCAAAUAUGCAGGCUCUCCCUCUUAUGCUCCUAUCCUUAGAGAGAUUCAAACUAGUAGCAAUGAUUUUUCUUCUGUUGAGUUCCGUUUCAAGAGUAGAGACAAUAAUUUUGAGGCCCACUCGCUAGCUAAGGGAGAUGCGUCUCUUGCGGUGGGCCGCCAUGUGUGGCUAGGGGUUUUGCCAUAG